UGGGGAAUAUUGGACAAUGGGCGAAAGCCUGAUCCAGCAAUGCCGCGUGAGUGAUGAAGGCCUUAGGGUUGUAAAGCUCUUUUACCCGGGAUGAUAAUGACAGUACCGGGAGAAUAAGCCCCGGCUAACUCCGUGCCAGCAGCCGCGGUAAUACGGAGGGGGCUAGCGUUGUUCGGAAUUACUGGGCGUAAAGCGCACGUAGGCGGCUUUGUAAGUUAGAGGUGAAAGCCCAGAGCUCAACUCUGGAACUGCCUUUAAGACUGCAUCGCUUGAAUUGUGGAGAGGUAAGUGGAAUUCCGAGUGUAGAGGUGAAAUUCGUAGAUAUUCGGAAGAACACCAGUGGCGAAGGCGACUUACUGGACACAUAUUGACGCUGAGGUGCGAAAGCGUGGGGAGCAAACA
rnacentral:rRNA from 1 species